rnacentral:rRNA from 1 species
UGAACGCUAGCUACAGGCUUAACACAUGCAAGUCGAGGGGCAGCAUGGUCUUAGCUUGCUAAGGCCGAUGGCGACCGGCGCACGGGUGAGUAACACGUAUCCAACCUGCCGUCUACUCUUGGACAGCCUUCUGAAAGGAAGAUUAAUACAAGAUGGCAUCAUGAGUCCACAUGUUCACAUGAUUAAAGGUAUUCCGGUAGACGAUGGGGAUGCGUUCCAUUAGAUAGUAGGCGGGGUAACGGCCCACCUAGUCUUCGAUGGAUAGGGGUUCUGAGAGGAAGGUCCCCCACAUUGGAACUGAGACACGGUCCAAACUCCUACGGGAGGCAGCAGUGAGGAAUAUUGGUCAAUGGGCGAGAGCCUGAACCAGCCAAGUAGCGUGAAGGAUGACUGCCCUAUGGGUUGUAAACUUCUUUUAUAAAGGAAUAAAGUCGGGUAUGCAUACCCGUUUGCAUGUACUUUAUGAAUAAGGAUCGGCUAACUCCGUGCCAGCAGCCGCGGUAAUACGGAGGAUCCGAGCGUUAUCCGGAUUUAUUGGGUUUAAAGGGAGCGUAGAUGGAUGUUUAAGUCAGUUGUGAAAGUUUGCGGCUCAACCGUAAAAUUGCAGUUGAUACUGGAUAUCUUGAGUGCAGUUGAGGCAGGCGGAAUUCGUGGUGUAGCGGUGAAAUGCUUAGAUAUCACGAAGAACUCCGAUUGCGAAGGCAGCCUGCUAAGCUGCAACUGACAUUGAGGCUCGAAAGUGUGGGUAUCAAACAGGAUUAGAUACCCUGGUAGUCCACACGGUAAACGAUGAAUACUCGCUGUUUGCGAUAUACAGCAAGCGGCCAAGCGAAAGCGUUAAGUAUUCCACCUGGGGAGUACGCCGGCAACGGUGAAACUCAAAGGAAUUGACGGGGGCCCGCACAAGCGGAGGAACAUGUGGUUUAAUUCGAUGAUACGCGAGGAACCUUACCCGGGCUUAAAUUGCAGAUGAAUUACGGUGAAAGCCGUAAGCCGCAAGGCAUCUGUGAAGGUGCUGCAUGGUUGUCGUCAGCUCGUGCCGUGAGGUGUCGGCUUAAGUGCCAUAACGAGCGCAACCCUUGUUGUCAGUUACUAACAGGUCAUGCUGAGGACUCUGACAAGACUGCCAUCGUAAGAUGUGAGGAAGGUGGGGAUGACGUCAAAUCAGCACGGCCCUUACGUCCGGGGCUACACACGUGUUACAAUGGGGGGUACAGAGGGCCGCUACCACGCGAGUGGAUGCCAAUCCCAAAAACCUCUCUCAGUUCGGACUGGAGUCUGCAACCCGACUCCACGAAGCUGGAUUCGCUAGUAAUCGCGCAUCAGCCACGGCGCGGUGAAUACGUUCCCGGGCCUUGUACACACCGCCCGUCAAGCCAUGGGAGCCGGGGGUACCUGAAGUGCGUAACCGCGAGGAGCGCCCUAGGGUAAAACUGGU